rnacentral:lncRNA from 1 species
GCUUCCAUGUGCCAACACCAAAGUGUCUCCACACUUGUGCACGUGUGUUAGCAUAUUUUAAAACAUUUUUCAAGGGUUACUUAGUUAGCUCACUAGGUCCUAAUGCACAUGCAAGGAAUCCAAUCACCUAGUGGCACUUAGACAACCGUUUUCACAACGAGAUUACCCCUCUUAAUAGUACGGCUAUCUAUCCUAAAUGUGAUCACACCCUCUAUGGUGUCUUGAUCACCAAAACCAAAACCCUAGGCAAUACCUUUGCCUUGAUCUCCAUAGGGUUUUUUUUCUCUUUUUUUUUUUAAGUUGAGCACUUGAUCAUCUUGAGGUCAUCACCAUCAUCACCAUGAUCAUCUCUUGCUCCAUCACUUGGCAUGUACCAACCUCAUUAAGUCUACACACACUUAGCAUAGAGGUUAGUACUAGGGUUUCAUCAAUUAUCCAAAACCAAACUAGGGCUUUUAAUCUCCCCCUUUUUGGCAAUUGAUGACAACCCUUUUUACAAAGAUUUUCAAUAAAAUUUUCUUGGAUUCAUGUUGCUUGCCCAAGUAUUUUACCAUGUGCAAAGGUUAUGGACAAGUUUCAUAAACCCGAAUUGGUAGCAAUUGCUCCCCCUACAUAUGUGCUAAG